AUUGAACGCUGGCGGCAUGCUUUACACAUGCAAGUCGAACGGUAACAGGGUGCUUGCACCGCUGACGAGUGGCGAACGGGUGAGUAAUGCGUCGGAACGCACCGAGUAAUGGGGGAUAACGCAGCGAAAGCUGUGCUAAUACCGCAUACGCUCUGAGGAGGAAAGCGGGGGACCUUCGGGCCUCGCGUUAUUCGAGCGGCCGACGUCUGAUUUGCUAGUAGGUGAGGUAAGAGCUCACCUAGGCGAUGAUCAGUAGCGGGUCUGAGAGGAUGAUGCGCCAAACUGGGAAUAAGAAACGGCACGGACGCCUACGGGAGGCAGCAGUGGGGAAUUUUGGACAAUGGGCGCAAGCCUGAUCCAGCCAUGCCGCGUGUCUGAAGAAGGCCUUCGGGUUGUAAAGGACUUUUGUCAGGGAGGAAAUCCUUAGCGCUAAUACCGUUGAGGGAUGACAGUACCUGAAGAAUAAGCACCGGCUAACUACGUGCCAGCAGCCGCGGUAA
rnacentral:rRNA from 1 species